UAUAGCAGGUGCUAGCUGGGAAGG
rnacentral:misc_RNA from 1 species